rnacentral:rRNA from 1 species
GAGUUUGAUCCUGGCUCAGGACGAACGCUGGCGGCGUGCUUAACACAUGCAAGUCGAGCGAUGAAGCUUCCUUCGGGAAGUGGAUUAGCGGCGGACGGGUGAGUAACACGUGGGCAACCUGCCUCAAAGAGGGGAAUAGCCCUCCGAAAGGAGGAUUAAUACCGCAUAAAGUUAGAGUUUCGCAUGAAACUUUAACCAAAGGAGUAAUCCGCUUUGAGAUGGGCCCGCGUCCCAUUAGCUAGUUGGUAGGGUAAUGGCUUACCAAGGCAACGAUGGGUAGCCGACCUGAGAGGGUGAUCGGCCACAUUGGAACUGAGACACGGUCCAGACUCCUACGGGAGGCAGCAGUGGGGAAUAUUGCGCAAUGGGGGAAACCCUGACGCAGCAACGCCGCGUGGGUGAUGAAGGUUUUCGGAUCGUAAAACCCUGUUUUCUGGGACGAUAAUGAUGGUACCAGAUGAGGAAGCCACGGCUAACUACAUGCCAGCAGCCGCGGUAAUAC